rnacentral:tRNA from 1 species
GGCGUAUAGCUCAGCUGGUUAGAGCGCACGCCUGAUAAGCGUGAGGUCGAUGGUUCGAGUCCAUUUAGGCCCA